rnacentral:rRNA from 1 species
GAUGAACGCUGGCGGCGUGCCUAAUACAUGCAAGUCGAGCGAACGGACGAGAAGCUUGCUUCUCUGAUGUUAGCGGCGGACGGGUGAGUAACACGUGGAUAACCUACCUAUAAGACUGGGAUAACUUCGGGAAACCGGAGCUAAUACCGGAUAAUAUUUUGAACCGCAUGGUUCAAAAGUGAAAGACGGUCUUGCUGUCACUUAUAGAUGGAUCCGCGCUGCAUUAGCUAGUUGGUAAGGUAACGGCUUACCAAGGCAACGAUGCAUAGCCGACCUGAGAGGGUGAUCGGCCACACUGGAACUGAGACACGGUCCAGACUCCUACGGGAGGCAGCAGUAGGGAAUCUUCCGCAAUGGGCGAAAGCCUGACGGAGCAACGCCGCGUGAGUGAUGAAGGUCUUCGGAUCGUAAAACUCUGUUAUUAGGGAAGAACAUAUGUGUAAGUAACUGUGCACAUCUUGACGGUACCUAAUCAGAAAGCCACGGCUAACUACGUGCCAGCAGCCGCGGUAAUACGUAGGUGGCAAGCGUUAUCCGGAAUUAUUGGGCGUAAAGCGCGCGUAGGCGGUUUUUUAAGUCUGAUGUGAAAGCCCACGGCUCAACCGUGGAGGGUCAUUGGAAACUGGAAAACUUGAGUGCAGAAGAGGAAAGUGGAAUUCCAUGUGUAGCGGUGAAAUGCGCAGAGAUAUGGAGGAACACCAGUGGCGAAGGCGACUUUCUGGUCUGUAACUGACGCUGAUGUGCGAAAGCGUGGGGAUCAAACAGGAUUAGAUACCCUGGUAGUCCACGCCGUAAACGAUGAGUGCUAAGUGUUAGGGGGUUUCCGCCCCUUAGUGCUGCAGCUAACGCAUUAAGCACUCCGCCUGGGGAGUACGACCGCAAGGUUGAAACUCAAAGGAAUUGACGGGGACCCGCACAAGCGGUGGAGCAUGUGGUUUAAUUCGAAGCAACGCGAAGAACCUUACCAAAUCUUGACAUCCUUUGACAACUCUAGAGAUAGAGCCUUCCCCUUCGGGGGACAAAGUGACAGGUGGUGCAUGGUUGUCGUCAGCUCGUGUCGUGAGAUGUUGGGUUAAGUCCCGCAACGAGCGCAACCCUUAAGCUUAGUUGCCAUCAUUAAGUUGGGCACUCUAAGUUGACUGCCGGUGACAAACCGGAGGAAGGUGGGGAUGACGUCAAAUCAUCAUGCCCCUUAUGAUUUGGGCUACACACGUGCUACAAUGGACAAUACAAAGGGCAGCGAAACCGCGAGGUCAAGCAAAUCCCAUAAAGUUGUUCUCAGUUCGGAUUGUAGUCUGCAACUCGACUACAUGAAGCUGGAAUCGCUAGUAAUCGUAGAUCAGCACGCUACGGUGAAUACGUUCCCGGGUCU